rnacentral:lncRNA from 1 species
AGAUUUCAAAAGCCUAGGGUUUCUGAGAGACACACACAAAGGGAUGAGAAGAAAAGAUUGGGAACAGCUAUUGUGAAAACAUCCUAUGGAAUAUAAGAGGAGAGAAGGGAGAGAGUGGGCAGAAUGAGUUGAAGUCAAGCCUUUUCCCGUUUCAAAGAGUUUAUCUUUAAAUAUCAGCAAUUUAGGGGAAAGAAAUCUGAUACCUGAAGGCUCCUCUCAGUUUUACUCCUGGAUGCAGAAAACCUGUCCUGGGAGGAAGAAGCAAGGCAAAUGAAAACACCUCUACUCGGAACCCUUCUAGCCUGCACAAAAACUCUGUUGCCAACAUUUUCUGGGUUUUGUCAAAGCGACACAAAGUAAAUAUUCUCAGGGCUCCAAAUCCCAGAGUGAGCAAGGUUGAUAUCAAAUAACUGUGCUAUGAAAGGAAAACCAACCAGCAUCCAACAGUUACCUUCAUGACACAGGAAUCGUGUCAAUUAGCUUCAAGCAGGAAUACGUGGACCAACUCCAGCUGCUCAGUAAGAAAAGUUUAUUCACCUCUUUGGGAAAAGCAACAAUGAUAACAGGCAAUCUCAGACUUGGGCAAUCCUCAGGAUCACUUUCUUAUUCACUCAUGUAAACAGAAGGAUUCAAACAGCAGAAUUGACUAAGGUAGGUCUUCUGCAUCCAGGAGUAAAACUGAGAGGAGCCUUCAGCACAGAGUCUGGAUCAUCGCUGAAUUCAAUUGACAUCUGAAUUUUACUGGUGAAGAUACUGAAACUGAGAGGAGUUAAAUGACAGAGCUAUUAUGGAGCAGGAAAAGGAUUCACAUUCAGCUCUUGACUUUAAUUCAUUGCUUCUAUAAAAUGGAAAGAACAUUUG